UACGUAGGUGGCGAGCGUUGUCCGGAUUUACUGGGCGUAAAGGGCGUGCAGGCGGUUUGUUAAGUUCAGGGUGAAAGCUCCCGGCUCAACUGGGAGAGGUCCUUGGAUACUGGCAGACUAGAGGAGGGUAGAGGAGAGUGGAAUUCCCGGUGUAGUGGUGAUAUGCGUAGAUAUCGGGAGGAACACCAGUGGCGAAGGCGGCUCUCUGGGCCCUACCUGACGCUGAGACGCGAAAGCGUGGGGAGCGAACCGG
rnacentral:rRNA from 1 species